UGUGUGUGUGUGUGUGUGUGUGUGUGUGUGAGAGAGAGANNNNCGCACACGCGCACACACACACACACACACACACACACACACACA
rnacentral:miRNA from 14 species